rnacentral:rRNA from 1 species
ACUCCGAAAGCGAAGAAACUUACAACAAAGAGUCCCUCCCGACUGUUUACCAAAAACACAGCACUCUGCUAACUCGUAAGAGGAUGUAUAGGGUGUGACGCCUGCCCGGUGCUCGAAGGUUAAUUGAUGGGGUUAGCAUUAGCGAAGCUCUUGAUCGAAGCCCGAGUAAACGGCGGCCGUAACUAUAACGGUCCUAAGGUAGCGAAAUUCCUUGUCGGUUAAAUACCGACCUGCAUGAAUGGCGUAACGAGAUGGGAGCUGUCUCAAAGAGGGAUCCAGUGAAAUUGUAGUGGAGGUGAAAAUUCCUCCUACCCGCGGCAAGACGGAAAGACCCCGUGGACCUUUACUACAGCUUGACACUGCUAUUUGGAUAAGAAUGUGCAGGAUAGGUGGGAGGCUUUGAGUAUAUGACGCCAGUUGUAUAGGAGCCAUUGUUGAGAUACCACUCUUUCUUAUUUGGGUAGCUAACCAGCUUGAGUUAUCCUCAAGUGGGACAAUGUCUGGUGGGUAGUUUGACUGGGGCGGUCGCCUCCCAAAUAAUAACGGAGGCUUACAAAGGUUGGCUCAGAACGGUUGGAAAUCGUUCAUAGAGUAUAAAGGUAUAAGCCAGCUUAACUGCAAGACAUACAAGUCAAGCAGAGACGAAAGUCGGUCUUAGUGAUCCGGUGGUUCUGUGUGGAAGGGCCAUCGCUCAAAGGAUAAAAGGUACCCCGGGGAUAACAGGCUGAUCUCCCCCAAGAGCUCACAUCGACGGGGAGGUUUGGCACCUCGAUGUCGGCUCAUCGCAUCCUGGGGCUGGAGCAGGUCCCAAGGGUAUGGCUGUUCGCCAUUUAAAGCGGUACGCGAGCUGGGUUCAGAACGUCGUGAGACAGUUCGGUCCCUAUCUGCCGUGGGCGUAAGAAGAUUGAAGAGAUUUGACCCUAGUACGAGAGGACCGGGUUGAACAAACCACUGGUGUAGCUGUUGUUCUGCCAAGAGCAUCGCAGCGUAGCUAAGUUUGGAAAGGAUAAACGCUGAAAGCAUCUAAGCGUGAAGCCAACUCUAAGAUGAAUCUUCUCUAAGCUCUCUAGAAGACUACUAGUUUGAUAGGCUGGGUGUGUAAUGGAUGAAAGUCCUUUAGCUGACCAGUACUAAUAGAGCGUUUGGCUUAUCUUUAAUAAAGCAU